UCACAUUCCAAGAGAACUCAAAAGAACAAAGUUAUCAUCUUACGGCAGCUGGGAGGGGCCAUAAAAUCUACAGAGCCUGCAAAGCCCCUGGAGACAGAUCCUUACUUAUCUAGGCAAACUAAAGCAAAGAUUCAAAGGGCCGGGCUAGUUGAUUCAAGAAUUUGAGUCCUGGGAGUUCUGGUUCAAGAUGGCAACACAGGAAGAUUCUGAACCCGCUUCCUUCCAUGGACACACCAAAUCUAUAGCUACAAAUGGAAAAGUUUCCUCUGAAAAAAACUCCCAAACAAACUGAGUGACUCUCAGAAAUUGGACGAACUAGAAAAAACCCACAUUGAAGUGGGUAGGAGAGGCUGAGAUGCAGUCUCACUGUAAACCUCAUUGCUGGCCCAGGAAUCCGCAAUUGGGAGGAGACUCAAAACCCUGAGAUUCUCUCUGAGGAAUGAAGGAUUUGACCCCCACAUCAGGCACCCUGAUUUUUAAGACCUGCACCUGAGAGAGAAGCCCCAAGACAUCUAUCUUUUAAAGCCAACAGGGCUUGGGUUCAGGGGACCCACAAGGCUAUGGUGAACAGAGAAACAGUUCUCAAAAGGCUCCCCUACACACACUCACUUGCCCCAGGGCCCAGCACAGAGGUAGUCAACUGAAAAGCACCCAGACUUUCUGUGAAAGAGGCUUAUUUGCUUACCUUAAGGCAUCAGCCUAAGGGUCAGGCAUCUAAUUUAAGACACACCUUGGGAGCCUACUGAAAUAUUCUCCAAAGAUGGAGGCUGGCAGGCACUGUCUUUGCACUCUCCCUCUGCCUUGCUUCAGGUCACUGAUAUCUCCUGGAAAGCAGCUUAUAUACUUGUCUGGUGCCCCAGUUUUAGUGUUUGCCACCCAGUGGACACCUCUAGAUUACCUGGCUCUGGUGGCCAGUGGGGCUUACACUUGGGGGUCCCACAGGACUCUAACAAAUGGAGAAAGAGUUGUUAACCAGCUACCACCCAUAGGAUACAGCAGAGAGGCAACAGAUUAAGUCACCCAGUCUUUCUGUGAAAGAGGCCUAUUAGUUUAUCUUCAUAGCUAUUGCCUGAAGGGCAGGCUUCUAAUUAAACACACAUCUAGGGACUCACUACAAUCCUCUCCAAAGACUGAGGAGAACAGUGGGCACCAUAUUUGCACUCUCUCUCUGUACCACCCCAGGUCAUUUGUGUCUCUGAGAAAGGACUUUGUGUGUAAGUGUGGCACCUAGAGGACACAUUCCUUGAAAGCCUGGCUCUGGUGGCCAGUGGGGCUUUUGUUUAUGGGUUCCAUAGUAGCAAAAUAAGAAACAGUUCUUAUGUGGCCAUCACCUCAAACGUCAGCACAGAUGGAGCGGAAAGAAACGCCCAUAUCUCAGUCUUCGCCUGAAAGAUGUACAUGUUUUAUUUUAAAAGCUGCUGCCUGAUGGUCUGGCUUCCAAUCAGCCUGAAUCUAGGUGCUGACUGAGAUCCUCCCCAUUGUACACUGACAGGUCUUGGCACACCCUCAAAUACUGGAAGUCACUAAAAAUAAAAUAGUCUUCCUGGACAAUCACAAAGGUUUAAGAGACAACCAAGAGCUAGGGCAGAGUUAAAUGAAAGAUUCAUCUCCUACAAGAGACCACUCCUUCAAGACUAGGAGAGGUGGCUGUUUUAUCCAAUGCAUAGAAACCAACAGAGAGAGUCAAGGAAAAUUAAAAAACAACAACAACCCAAUAUGUUGCAAAUGAAAAAACAAGAUAAAACCUCAGUAAAAGACCAUAAUGAAAUAGAGAUAAGUGUUUUACUGGAUAAAGAGUUAAAAUAACAGUAAUAAACAUUCUCACUGAGCUCAGGAGAAGAUUGGAUAAACAAAGUAAGAAUUUCAACAGAGAGAUCGGAAAUAUAAGAAAAUACCAAAUAGAAGUCACAGAACUAAUGAAUACAAUAACAUCUGAAAAAUACAAUAAAGGGACUCAAUAAAAGACUAGAUGAUGAAGAAAGGAAACCUAUCUUGAAGACAGGGCAGUGGAACUCACCCAGUCAGAGCAACAAAAAGAAAAAAGAGUGAAAAUUGCUUAAGGGAAUUAUGGGACAACAUUAAGUGGAUCAACAUUCACAUUAUAGGGGUCCCAGAGGAAAAAAGAGAAGGAAAGAGGCCAAAAACUUCUUUGAAGAAAGAAUGGCAGAAAACUUCCCUAACCUGGGAAAG
ensembl:lncRNA